CAAACGGAUCUUCCAAUAUGAAAUACAUAGGCCUAGAGUAUAGAAUUAGUUCUCCAGACAUAGAGCAAAUCUAAUCAAUAUUAAUAAACUUUAAAAAAUAAUAAGUUCAGCCCAUGAACAAAAGUAAAUGGAUCUACAUUUUCAAUAAUUACUAUUCAAACUGGAAAAAAUAUUAGAAAUUCUACAGAACAUUACUAGAAUCUAUAAUUUUACGCGGUGAAAUGGGAAAGAACGACCAUGAUAAUCUGCAAGUCGAAAUUGGCUUAUCAGAAGCGGAAGAUGUAAGAUCCAGAAACAUUCGAAUUAUUUUUCCAAACCAAGAA
rnacentral:sRNA from 1 species